rnacentral:rRNA from 1 species
AGUGAACGCUGGCGGUAGGCCUAACACAUGCAAGUCGAACGGCAGCACAGUAAGAGCUUGCUCUUACGGGUGGCGAGUGGCGGACGGGUGAGGAAUACAUCGGAAUCUACUUUUUCGUGGGGGAUAACGUAGGGAAACUUACGCUAAUACCGCAUACGACCUACGGGUGAAAGCAGGGGAUCUUCGGACCUUGCGCGAUUGAAUGAGCCGAUGUCGGAUUAGCUAGUUGGCGGGGUAAAGGCCCACCAAGGCGACGAUCCGUAGCUGGUCUGAGAGGAUGAUCAGCCACACUGGAAGUGAGACACGGUCCAGACUCCUACGGGAGGCAGCAGUGGGGACUAUUGGACAAUGGGCGCAAGCCUGAUCCAGCCAUACCGCGUGGGUGAAGAAGGCCUUCGGGUUGUAAAACCCUUUUGUUGGGAAAGAAAAGCAGCAGGUUAAUACCCCGCUGUUCUGACGGUACCCAAAGAAUAAGCACCGGCUAACUUCGUG